rnacentral:misc_RNA from 1 species
GAUGAAGAACGCAGCGAAAUGCGAUAAGUAAUGUGAAUUGCAGAAUUCAGUGAAUCAUCGAAUCUUUGAACGCACAUUGCGCCCGCCAGUAUUCUGGCGGGCAUGCCUGUUCGAGCGUCAUUGCUGCCCUCAAGCACGGCUUGUGUGUUGGGCCCCGUCCUCCGAUCCCGGGGGACGGGCCCGAAAGGCAGCGGCGGCACCGCGUCCGGUCCUCGAGCGUAUGGGGCUUUGUCACCCGCUCUGUAGGCCCGGCCGGCGCUUGCCGAUCAACCCAAAUUUUUUAUCCAGGUUGACCUCGGAUCAGGUAGGGAUACCCGCUGAACUUAAGCAUAUCAAUAAGCGGAGGA